UACGUAGGGGGCAAGCGUUAUCCGGAUUUACUGGGUGUAAAGGGAGCGUAGGCGGACUUUUAAGUGAGAUGUGAAAUACUCGGGCUCAACUUGAGUGCUGCAUUUCAAACUGGAAGUCUAGAGUGCAGGAGAGGAGAAUGGAAUUCCUAGUGUAGCGGCGAAAUGCGUAGAGAUUAGGAAGAACACCAGUGGCGAAGGCGAUUCUCUGGACUGUAACUGACGCUGAGGCUCGAAAGCGUGGGGAGCAAACAGG
rnacentral:rRNA from 1 species